ACUAUUUUGGCAGAUAAAUGCAAUAAAUUUAGAAUUUAUUAAUGUAAAAUUUUUACAAAUAGUA
rnacentral:tRNA from 1 species